AGAGUUUGAUCCUGGCUCAGGACGAACGCUGGCGGCGUGCUUAACACAUGCAAGUCGAGCGGGGCGUAGCAAUACGCCUAGCGGCGGACGGGUGAGUAACACGUGAGUAACCUGCCCUAUGGAGGGGGAUAACACAAAGAAAUUUGUGCUAAUACCGCAUAACACUGAUGCUUUGCAUGAAGUAUCAGUCAAAGAUUUAUCGCCAUAGGAUGGACUCGCGGCGCAUUAGCUAGUUGGUGAGGUAACGGCUCACCAAGGCGACGAUGCGUAGCCGACCUGAGAGGGUGAUCGGCCACAUUGGAACUGAGACACGGUCCAGACUCCUACGGGAGGCAGCAGUGGGGAAUAUUGCACAAUGGGGGAAACCCUGAUGCAGCAACGCCGCGUGGAGGACGAAGGCCUUCGGGUUGUAAACUCCUGUCUUUUGGGACGAAUAAUGACGGUACCAAAGGAGGAAGCCACGGCUAACUACGUGCCAGCAGCCGCGGUAAUACGUAGGUGGCAAGCGUUGUCCGGAAUUAUUGGGCGUAAAGGGCGCGUAGGCGGCUUUUUAAGUCAGAUGUGAAAACCCCGGGCUUAACUUGGGAACUGCAUCUGAUACUGGGAGGCUAGAGUGCAGGAGAGGUAAGUGGAAUUCCUAGUGUAGCGGUGAAAUGCGUAGAUAUUAGGAGGAACACCAGUGGCGAAGGCGACUUACUGGACUGUAACUGACGCUGAGGCGCGAAAGCGUGGGGAGCAAACAGGAUUAGAUACCCUGGUAGUCCACGCUGUAAACGAUGAAUACUAGGUGUAGGGGGUAU
rnacentral:rRNA from 1 species